rnacentral:lncRNA from 1 species
ACUUACGUCUGUCUGGAUGUCUUGCUGCUGACAGUUUGGCCAAGGGGGACAGGAGAAAUGAGUGUGCAGGGCUCCUGUGGCUUCCCAGACAGAGGAGUGCCUGUGCCCGCCCUGUGACAUUCGGCACUGCUCCCUUCUUCAUCGGCCUGCAUCUCCGCCUUUUCUGUUUCUGGAAAAAGUUUCUUAAUAUCUGAGCCGAGCA